GUGCUCGCUUUGGCAGCACAUAUACCAAGAUUGGAACGAUACAGAGAUUAUUAGCAUGACCCCUGGGAAAGGAUGACAUGCAAAUUCGUGAAACAUUCUAUAUUUUU
rnacentral:snRNA from 1 species